CCCUCCUCAACCCAAUAAUGGUGUGAAGGAAAUGUUUCAAACAUCUCAAAAAAGUCAAAACUUUAAACCAACCCAGAAAAAAGAAAAAACUCUCCUCGUAACGGUGGCUGUCGGCGGUGUUAUUGGUAGCUGUAACGGCGGUGAAACAGGUGAAUGGCAAGAAGCAAUAAAUACACCUCCCUCAACUUCAAUGAUAUAUACGAUAAAAAGCUGAAUAAUAACAAUAAUCAAACAAGUAACAACAAUUCUUCAGCUAAAUCGUUCUCUUCUUCGGGUACUUCGUUUGCGAAUCCAAGCAAAAACUCGCGAAUUCAUGGCCACAUGCUUGUUUUGAGCCGGCCGACUCCCAAGCCCAUUUCGAUUCCUGUGAAGCAAUCGAUCGAGCAGAAAGAAAACAAGGAAAAGGGUUCUGUUGUUUGUUCUUUGACGCCACCGGAUCAAGCAAGGUUGGAUCUUGACCCGGAUUUAAUAUCGCUUCGUCCACAGGGACGAACUGGGUCAACUCCGGCAAUUUCUUCUUCUCCUUUGCCGUCUCCGGUGUCUCCGUUGAUUUCUCCGGUUAAGACUAACCGUUUCGUGCCGCCGCAUCUCAGGCCGGGUUUUGUGGGCAAGCAGGAGAAGCCUUGGCCUGAGAUUAUGAAGAGUGGACCGCCUGGGGUUUUUAAGGGCAGACAGGAUUUUGUCGGACAUCGUCCGGCUCCGGUUCAGGAUCCGGGGCACUAUAGAUCAUCUCCUAACCGUUUCGGUGAAGACGGGAGGCCGAAAUCUGGAGGUGGGUAUGAGCGGAUGAGGAAAGGUGGUGAGCCAGCAGAUCUGAACAUUCCCGGUUCAAGUGGGAACCGGCCCAGUUCCAGUGGAUGAUGGAAAGGGUUGAGCAGUCGACUGUAGACCAGCAAACAAUUUGCUGGUAAAGGAUAGGAUGUCUUGUUUCCUAUGGACAUGGACACGCAUUUCACUAAGCCGCGCUCCUUCUGCUAGAUGCUGAAAAAGAAUUAUUAAGCAGUUUGAUUCUCACCAUGAACAGCCAUGAUAGUUAGCACUGGGGUUAUCAUUUGUUAUAGAAUGCUUCGUGGACCUAUCCGUGGAAGAUGGAUUAUAACCUGUUAACGUUUUAGUAUUACAAGAUAGAGUUUCAAGGCCUGAUUAACAUCUGGUGUCUUUAUCUUAUUUCCUUUUUCAAUUUGUAAAUCUGCAUUAUAUAGAAAGACGGUGACUAUGGAAUGUAGAAUUUGCUUGUAUGGUUUCUUGUACUACUAUUUAUCGCGUGAAACUAUCCUAGAGGAUGGUGAUGUGGUGGGUAUUAGUCUUCUAAUUUGUACUGAAACAACAUUGUACUUUUGUGUAGGAUGUGAACUUGAGGUUCCAUUUGUCUCACAAAAAUUGUUUUCCGUUCGAACAUUCUUUCA